rnacentral:lncRNA from 1 species
UGACUUCUACCAUGACAUAUGGCGGUCAGGGCCAGAGUGUUCAGAAGGUGAUGUUGCAUCCUAUCAACCUCAUCUUCAGAUCCUAGCAAAACAGAUCUCAAACUCAGGUGUAUGACCAAGUGAAUACAUAGAUAGAAGAUGGUAUUAUUGGCUUUGAUGAGUACAAGAAACUCGUAUUAGAUGAUGCCAAGAGACUCAUUUUAAAACAAAGUCAAGAAAACAACUGGGUUGGAUCAUGCUAAAAGGAGAUGUUACUCUGCUUCAAAGUGUUUCCUACUAGAAAUGGUCAAGCAUGGGAGAAGGUGAGAAGGCAGUUCAGUGUUUUUAAAGGUGUCUUCUGCUGGGAGCUACAUUUAUCCAUUUUGGGACAUUAUCAUUAAGUGACAAUAAAUGCUGUGAGAUUGUUUUUGUUAAAAAAAUAAAAUAAAAA